UUCCGGUUGAUCCUGCCGGAGGCUACCGCUAUUGGAGUUCGAUUAAGCCAUGCGAGUCGCGAGAAAUUAGAUUCUCGGCGUACCGCUCAGUAACACGUGGGUAACCUGCCCUAUGCUGGAUAAUAACCUCGGGAAACUGAGAAUAAUGAUCCAUAGUUCACUACGCCUGGAACGGUGAGUGGAUGAAAGCUCCGGCGGCAUAGGAUGGGCCUGCGGCGUAUCAGGUUGUAGGGGGUGUAACGUACCCUCUAGCCCUCUACGCGUACGGGUGUUGGGAGACAUAGCCCGGAGAUGGAUUCUGAGACACGAAUCCAGACCCUACGGGGUGCAGCAGGCGCGAAAACUUGGCAAUGCGAGAAAUCGUGACCAGGGAACUCCAAGUGCAUCGGGUAAGACCGGUGCUUUUCUUGACUCUAAAUAGGUCUUGGAAUAAGGGGUGGGUAAGGACGGUGCCAGCCGCCGCGGUAAUACCGGCGCCUCAAGUGGUAGUCGCUUUUAUUGGGCCUAAAACGUCCGUAGCCGGUCUGAUACAUUCGUGGGUAAAUCAACCAGCUCAACUGGUUGAAUUCUGCGAGGACGGUCAGACUUGGGACCGGGAGAGGUGUGGGGUACGCUCAGGGUAGGGGUAAAAUCCUGUCAUCCUGAGCG
rnacentral:rRNA from 1 species